UAUGCAGCGCGAGAUAGAUUCUAACGAUCCUGUCAUAGAGAAGCCAGGUCCUAACACCAGAAGAUUUUAACACCACGAGCCCCUGAAGACACACCUCCAUUUUUGGUGUCUUUGGUGAGAGAUUUCAGACAGGACUCCUAGGCUGUGUCAUAGAAUCUUCCAGUACCUGAGAACACAAGACUUCUCAUAGAAGUUGUUGCUAUCGCCUGGCCUUGUUCUCCUCGAGCCCUCCGUGUCGAGCAAAUGGCUUUCUCUGUACUUCUGGGAUAGUAAACCCCUCGGGCAGAGACCACUGCACUGCUACCCUCGGGAUCCUGCCGAGUACUGCGUCAGUGCUCCAUAAACAGUGACACCAUAACUCCGUCCUCACACUCAGCGGUUCUCUCUGCAAUCUG